UGAGCAAUCUGCCCUUCUCUUCGGAAUAAGCGUUGGAAACGACGUCUAAUGCCGGACACGACCUCCUUUCGCAUGAUCGGAGGUGGAAAGCUCCGGCGGAGAAGGAUGA
rnacentral:rRNA from 1 species